rnacentral:rRNA from 1 species
AGAGGACUGCUGGAGAUAUCAGAAGUGCGAAUGCUGACAUGAGUAACGUUAAAGCGGGUGAAAAGCCCGCUCGCCGUAAGCCCAAGGUUUCCUGCUCUACGUUCAUCGGAGCAGGGUGAGUCGGCCCCUAAGGCCAGGCUGAGAAGCGUCGUCGAUGGGAAUCAGAUUAAUAUUUCUGAACCAUGUGCGGAUGCGAUGGGGGGACGGAGUGUUGAAGAUCAUCCGGGUGUUGGAUGUCCCGGUUUGUGAGGGUAGAAGGCCGGCAGGCAAAUCCGCCGGCAAAUCUUCGAGCCGAAGCAUCGGGCCGUCGUGAGACGGUGAAGUGAUCGGAUGGACUUCCAGGAAAAGCCUCUAAGCUUCAGUCCGCAUGUGACCGUACCGUAAACCGACACUGGUGGGCGAGUUGAAUAUACUCAGGCGCUUGAGAGAACUCGGGAGAAGGAACUCGGCAAAUUGACACCGUAACUUCGGGAGAAGGUGUGCCUUUGUAGCGUGAAGGAAGAAACAUCCGGAGCGUGAAGAGGUCUCAGAAAAUAGGUGGCUGCAACUGUUUAUUAAAAACACAGCACUCUGCAAAGACGAAAGUCGACGUAUAGGGUGUGAUGCCUGCCCGGUGCUGGAAGAUUAAUUGAUGGGGUGAGAGCCCUUGAUCGAAGUCCCAGUAAACGGCGGCCGUAACUAUAACGGUCCUAAGGUAGCGAAAUUCCUUGUCGGGUAAGUUCCGACCUGCACGAAUGGCAUAACGAUGGCCACACUGUCUCCUCCCGAGACUCAGUGAAGUUGAAAUGUUUGUGAUGAUGCAAUCUCCCCGCGGCUAGACGGAAAGACCCCAUGAACCUUUACUGCAGCUUUGCAUUGAACUGUGAACCGAUUUGUGUAGGAUAGGUGGGAGGCAGAGAAGAGGCCACGCCAGUGGCCUUGGAGCCGACCUUGAAAUACCACCCUGAUUUGUUUGCGGUUCUAACCACGGACAGUGAUCCUGUCUUGGGACCGUGCAUGGUAGGCAGUUUGACUGGGGCGGUCUCCUCCUAAAGGGUAACGGAGGAGUACGAAGGUACGCUAGGUACGGUCGGAAAUCGUGCUGAUAGUGCAAUGGCAAAAGCGUGCUUGACUGCGAGAGCAACAACUCGAGCAGAUGCGAAAGCAGGUCAUAGUGAUCCGGUGGCUCUGAAUGGAAGGGCCAUCGCUCAACGGAUAAAAGGUACUCUGGGGAUAACAGGCUGAUACCGCCCAAGAGUUCAUAUCGACGGCGGUGUUUGGCACCUCGAUGUCGGCUCAUCUCAUCCUGGGGCUGUAGUCGGUCCCAAGGGUAUGGCUGUUCGCCAUUUAAAGAGGUACGUGAGCUGGGUUUAAAACGUCGUGAGACAGUUUGGUCCCUAUCUGCCGUGGGCGUUGGAAGAUUGACGGGGGCUGCUCCUAGUACGAGAGGACCGGAGUGGACGCACCUCUGGUGUACCGGUUGUCACGCCAGUGGCAUUGCCGGGUAGCUAAGUGCGGAAGAGAUAACCGCUGAAAGCAUCUAAGCGGGAAACUUGCCUGAAGAUGAGUCUUCCCGGAGGUUGAACCUCCCUCAAGAGUCGUCCGAGACCAGGACGUCGAUAGGUCAGGUGUGUAAGCGCUGUAAGGCGUUGAGCUAACUGAUACUAAUUGCUCGUGAGGCUUGAUCCU